GCUAACGUAGCUUAACUAAAGCAUAACACUGAA
rnacentral:tRNA from 1 species